rnacentral:rRNA from 1 species
GAUGAACGCUGGCGGCGUGCCUAAUACAUGCCAGUCGAGCGAACAGAUAAGGAGCUUGCUCCUUUGACGUUAGCGGCGGACGGGGGAGUAACACGUGGGUAACCUACCUAUAAGACUGGGAUAACUUCGGGAAACCGGAGCUAAUACCGGAUAACAUUUGGAACCGCAUGGUUCUAAAGUGACAGAUGGUUUUGCUAUCACUUAUAGAUGGACCCGCGCCGUAUUAGCUAGUUGGUAAGGUAACGGCUUACCAAGGCAACGAUCCGUAGCCGACCUGAGAGGGUGAUCGGCCACACUGGAACUGAGACACGGUCCAGACUCCUACGGGAGGCAGCAGUAGGGAAUCUUCCGCAAUGGGCGAAAGCCUGACGGAGCAACGCCGCGUGAGUGAUGAAGGGUUUCGGCUCGUAAAACUCUGUUAUUAGGGAAGAACAAAUGUGUAAGUAACUGUGCACGUCUUGACGGUACCUAAUCAGAAAGCCACGGCUAACUACGUG